rnacentral:lncRNA from 1 species
GUUUGUGAAUGGCCGUGUCGAGGGGGCCGAGGUGUGAGCCCCUGCCUGCGGGGGAGGGCCGGGAGUACCAUCUGGGCUGAUGAGGUGUGAGGCCAGGCAGAGAGGGGCCUCCGCGGGACGGGGUGAGUUGUAUGCAUGUGCACGUGUGCGUGCAGAUGGAGGGCAGAUUCGGCAUGUCUGCCAGGGGGUUUGUGAGUCUCUGCAGGUGGAGGUCAGGCAGGUACGUUGCUCUAAGGGUGUGUGAGCAGUGGGGCAGAGACACCACAGCCGGCAGAGCACAGGUGGGGGCCACCGGUGGGUGCCGGUCCUCGCAAAGUUCCGAACAAGAGAUGUGCUGGGGGUAGGGGAGCGGUGCUUCUUCCCUGCAGUAGAGAGGAAGAGGCCCAGCUGUAGAAGGGGGCGGGCCCAGUCAGUGUUGGGGUGACUAAGAAGAGGGUGGUGUGGUUGGAGGGGUGUGCGUGGGUACCGGCCAUCAGGUCAGUGUGGGGUGCGUGUGGCCAUCCCCACUUGGGUGUGUGUCUGUGAUGGGGAGUGAGGUGCGGGGCUGGGACCAUGAUUUGGAAGGACCCUCCAGGCUGUGGGCCCAGCCAGGAGUGAAGGACAUGGGAAGGGAUGAGGUGGGUGGGAAUGGGGGCCCUUCAGCUCCCAGAAAAUCUCUCCCAUCUGUUGUUUGCACCUCCUGCCCAGGGGCCAUGGAGAGAUUGGAAGAAGCCUUGUGGCCCCCGCCCCUCCCCCCCCCCAGCCUCUCUGGGCCUCCAAGACCCCUGCUCAUCCCAGAAGGGCAGGGGUGAGCUGUGAUACCUGAGAGCAGCCGGGAGGUGGAGUCCACUGGGGGCCUUCCUGCUUCUGCCCCUACGUCCUGGCCUCCCACCUGCCAGACCCCUGCUGUUGGCUCUCCGGGCAGCAUCUCAGCCUGCCCAGAGGAAGGAGGGCCUUCUGGGGCUUUUCCACUUACACCCUCUUGGCUGCCUAUCCCCACCUUACCCACUGGCCUGAGAGGCCCCCAUGUUUCCAUGGAAAUGGCCGCUCCUCCCAUGCUGACCCCUACCCAACAUCGAACAAAGCACAAAUGGUGAGCACCCCCCGCACCCCUCCUGGGAAGGAGCAGGCUGGGUUCCUGGGGCCCCUCCCCCUCCCUGGCCUGCCUCUGUCGCCAUGGCAACCCAGAGCCUGGCAGUUGGGACCGUUGGGCUUCUGGGGGCUCUCUCUCUGUCAUUGUGGGUGGCAGAGGGCGGUGAGGGAGGGCAGGGCCAGAUGGGGUGGCUGCCUUUCUCACGAGCUAGGGGCUUCCUGGGGUCAGCUCUAAGGGACGGAUCUGGGGUCCUGAGACUGUCUUGGAGACUGUCUUGAACACUGUCAGGGUGCUGAGGGGCCAGAGUCAGCUCCCCUGCACCUGUGGAUGGGAGGUGGGCCAGUGGGGAGUGAGACGACUCUAGCUUUGCCCACCUGCCCAUGUGCCCCUUGGCGCCCCACCCACCUCAGGAGCGGAAGGAGCCCACUGGGCUCUCCUCACACUCCUGCUUUCGGCCUGUCACUCAGUUGGGUUCUUGAGUUUUGGGGGUGUGACUGUGGGGUGAGGGUGGGUGCUGGAUGGGACCAAGACCUAUACUGUGGAGGGGAUUCUGACCAGGAAAGCUAGUGCCAUUCCCUGGGUGGUGGACACCAGUGACCUUCCUGGGGGAGGACAGUGGAGGGGAAAGAGGCCUUAGGGCUCAACUGAGCCCCACUUGGGAGACGGACCAAGCCUGGGGCUCACUUUGGGGGUGACAUUUGCAAAGAAAGGACUGUUCUCCUGGGGGAGUGGAGGGGAGGGGGCCAGCAUGGAUAUGCAGAGCAGACCUCCCCCAACUCCCCAAAACCUGCCCCAACCCCUCCUCACACCGGAUUGAUGAAACAGAAAAGCAAGCAGAGAAGCAGUGAUGUGAGAAAGCAGAUUCCCUGUUAUAUUUGCAUGACGAUUUUACUGUAUUUUUCUGAGCAAACAUCUGUCGUGUAUGUGCCAGUUUGUCCAGACUCCCUGGCCUUUCCUCCCCGCCGCGCUCCCAUUCCCACAUUCCCUCUGUUGUGAUCUGACAAGCAGCUCUUGAAACCCAGGGAGGGGCCCGCUCUGCAAAAGACCCAAAACAGGUGCCACCAAAAACACCCCCCACCCCCGACUCACCUUCUGUCUUUCUGGACGUCGAGGCCAGCCCACAAGUGCCGCCUCCCCUCCUCCCAUCAGCCUUUUCCUGGCCAGGGAAGGGCAGCCCCAGGGAAGGCCACCUGGGGGGACUGCUCCUCUGUUGCACUUGCUCCCAUUUUGCAGAUGAAGAAGUGGGAGCUCCCCAAAAGGGAGGGGUCUGGUGAUUUGCUGGGAGAGUCAGUCACAUUGCUGAGUACAGGAGGCCAAGAGCUUGGGGCUUCAUGGAUGGCUCUACAAGUGGGGGGCUUGGGGCCCUGAGGGAAGAACCCAUAAGAGGUUCCCCUCCCUUGAGGUUGGCCUGGGGACAGUGCUGCCCACAGGGAGGAAUCCUGCAGCAGGAGCAAGAGCUCCCCUCAAAUCCUCCGUCAUUCCUGGUUGAAGAUGACCUAUAAAAACCUCAGAUAGGCUGGCUUUGCGGGGCUUCAGAGGAUAGGUCCCCAUCUUAACUGCAAGGGUCUUCCACUCCAAGAGGUGAACCCAUAUUCACAGCCCAGGGCAUACAGGUCUAUGAUGCAGAUUAAGAUGACCUCCUAGGUGCCGGGGUCUUCCACUUCAGGAGGUGAAUCCACGUUCACAGCCCAGGGCAUACAGGUCUAUGAAGCAGAAUAAGAUGACCUCCUAGGUGCCCAGGCCAGGCCAAAGCUCCGGGGAGUGGGGCACACACUGUCGCUCACCCCAGAGGCUUUCCUGCAUCUAUGUCCUGUGUCCUGUUCAGGGAAAAAUAUUCACAAAAGACCGGUGAACAUUUACGUCCAGGAAUCUGGCUGGCCGGGGUCCUGUGUUUGUAAUGGCAAUGAGCACGGCGGGCCCCGGGUUCAUGGCCUGGGCCGGUCAGGAGGGCAGGCAACCAAGAGAGAAGGGAAAGGGUGGGGGGUGUCCCAGGGAGCAGGUGACAGGGGGGCCUGGUGGAGUGGGGUUGCUGUACCCUGGACCUUCUGGAGGCUGGCUGGGCUCUGAAUAAACCUUCACAGGAGCUUCCUUGGCACCUGUCCCUGGGAAGGGGCACCCAUGGUCUCCUGGAGAAUGCACUAGGGACAGUGACCCCUCUGCUGGAGCUAAUGGCCUUCCAGAGGGGAAAAGUGGGGGUCUGGCAGGAAGAAAGCUUAGUCUGGGGUGGCCACCUCCUCGGGGGUCCCAGGCUUGUCUCCUCUCCACAGGAGGGGCCUGUGUUGGCCCCCCAGAGGCUCCUCGCCCCGACCCCUCCUAGGGGACAGAGCAGGAGGAUGGUGGUGGCCUGUGUCCAGGCUGGGAAGGAACUGUCUGUGGGGGUGGGGGGUGGGGGGUGGUUGGAGUAGAAAGACCCACCUGGGGAAGAGGAGGUCUGCAGAAUCCCAGAGAGGCACAGGGAGGAGAGUCUGAGCCUGGCCGAAGGGCUCUGAGGUUCCUAGCAAGGAGUUGCCCACCUGCACCCCUCCUGUCCUGGACUGGACAUGUUAACAGAUGGGGAAGCAGAAGUACAGGGAGGAAAAGGAAAGAAAUCUUCUAGGGUCUCAAAACAUACUAAGGCCAGGAGAGGCGCCAGACAUGGGGGACAAGAGUGACAGGUCCCGGCUUAUAAGGGGCUUACAUGCAGUGAAGGGACAGCCACAAAGUGCUCCCCAGUGAAUGGACGUUGCACAGAGAAUCAAAAACUGGGAGAAUAGAGUGAGGCAGGGGCCGGGGGAGUCCUCGGGGCAGGGGAGCCAAGCUCUGAACGACAGAGCCAGAGGACUGGCCUGCUGGCCAGGGGAGGAUGACAUGGGAUGAGGGAGAAGUAAGGUUGUUAGCAGGGGCUGGACGCCCCCGCGUACCUCCUCCGGUGACCUCCACUACUCUGGCCCUGCCCUGCAAGGCCAGCAGCAUCCCACCACAUUCCUGAGGAGGGAGUGGGGGGCCUUCUUUCUGAGGUGGUGGAUGGGUGGUCCAGGCAUGAGGAGGCCUGGGGGUGUCAGAGCCCCACAGGGCUUAAGGAGCCCCCCUGAAGCUUGCCCGCCAGGCCAGAGUGAAGGUUCGGGCUUGCCUGACGUCAGGGCUGGUCUCCUCUCUGCCGAGACCUCUGCUACACAGCCUCCUCAGUCCUAGGAGCUGCCGUGCUCCUGGUCUAUCCUCCCACCUUUAAGACAGGACCGGUAUUCGACUCCUUGUUCUCGUGCCUGCCACCGAGUCCCCCAUUAAGGGCAUCACUGCUGCCGAGAAGUAGGGAGAGGAAAGGGGGUGGAAUGGGGUGGGCUUGAGAGGGUCUGGUCAGCCUCCCCUUCCCUCACCUGCCCCUCACCAAACAAGCACAGGGCUGGGCAGGGCCGAGGGGGUCCGCUCUUGUCCCCUGGCUUCCUCUGCCCCCCCCAACCCCGGCCCUGGGGCCACCAGCCCCUCCAUCCCACCCCACAGCUUGGCACCUGGUUUGGGUCCUGCAGAGCUGGGCUCCUGGCCCCGGGCUACGAACCUGUGAACCCCAGCUGUGUGUGGACCUUUCUUCCCGUGGCGGGGCCUGAACUCUCCUUUUCUUCUUUUUGGGGUGGGGGGAGGGGUAACUUCAUUUAUUUUCUCUUCCCUAUAUCUGCCUCUCCCUCCUCCCUAUUUCCUGUUUUAAACUGAAUGGCACGAAAUUGUUUUCCUCAACUCGGAGAUUCCUGUAUGGAGAGAAUCAAUUUCUAUAUUUGCAAUAAAUUUCUUAUUUAAAACAAUAGGACCAAGGUCUUUGUUGAAUGUCGACCCCUCCCUCUGCAAGUUGGGAU